UACAGAGGGUGCGAGCGUUAAUCGGAAUUACUGGGCGUAAAGCGUGCGUAGACGGCUAUCUAAGUCGGGUGUGAAAGCCCCGGGCUCAACCUGGGAAUUGCAUUCGAGACUGAAUAGCUAGGGUGCGGUAGAGGGAAGCGGAAUUUCCGCUGUAGCGGUGAAAUGCGUAGAUAUCGGAAGGAACAUCAGUGGCGAAAGCGGCUUCCUGGACCAGCACCGACGUUCAGGCACGAAAGCGUGGGGAGCAAACAGG
rnacentral:rRNA from 1 species